CCUACGUGAGGCUGCAGUGGGGGAUAUUGCACAAUGGGCGCAAGCCUGAUGCAGCGACACCGCGUGAGCGAAGAAGUAUUUCGGUAUGUAAAGCUCUAUCAGCAGGGAAGAAAAUGAUGGUACCAGACUCAGAAGCUCCGGAUAAAUACGGACCAACAGCCGCGGUAAUACGUAUGGACCAAUCGUUAUCCGGAUUUACUGGUUGAAAGGGUAGCGGAGGCGGCCCUGUAAGUCUGAUGUGAAAAUUUGGGGCUCAAUCCCAUCCAGCCGUUGAAACUGGGGAUCUAGAGGGUGCGAGAGGUAUGCAGAAUGCGUGGUGUAGCGGUGAAAUGCAUAGAUAUCACGCAGAA
rnacentral:rRNA from 1 species